UACGUAGGUGGCGAGCGUUGUCCGGAAUCACUGGGCGUAAAGCGCGCGCAGGCGGCGAUCUACGUCUGGGGUGAAAGCCCGGAGCUCAACUCCGGGACUGCCUUGGAUACGGGAUCGCUUGAGGAUCGGAGAGGCAAGGGGAAUUCCACGUGUAGCGGUGAAAUGCGUAGAGAUGUGGAGGAACACCUGUGGCGAAGGCGGCUACCUGGACCAGCACUGACACUGAGGCACGAAAGCGUGGGGAGCAAACAGG
rnacentral:rRNA from 1 species